rnacentral:rRNA from 1 species
AAGCCACGGCUAACUACGUGCCAGCAGCCGCGGUAAUACGUAGGUGGCGAGCGUUGUCCGGAUUUACUGGGCGUAAAGAGCGCGCAGGCGGCUGGUCAAGUCCGAUGUGAAAGCUCCCGGCUUAACUGGGAAAUUGCAUCGGAAACUGAUCGGCUGGAAGGUGGGAGAGGGUAGCGGAAUUCCCGGUGUAGUGGUGAAAUGCGUAGAUAUCGGGAGGAACACCAGUGGCGAAGGCGGCUACCUGGCCCAUUCUUGACGCUGAGGCGCGAAAGCUAGGGGAGCAAACGGGAUUAGAUACCC